GAAUGAAUGUGCAUAUAAAUAGACGAGCGAUGUCACAGAAAUAUCCCCGGGCACAGUCUGCAGUCCUUGUGUGUUACUGUAGAAACGAUUAUGGGUGCAGAAGAUAACCACGGUGGUGACAACGGGAUCGUGGCGGUCCAUCAACACAUGAGCAUCGUGCAGUUUGUUGUUUUUCACCUGAUGUUGAAACUCAAGCUGUGUUCCAUUUGUAGUCGGAACUCGGAAUUUCUGAGGUCACAGAAACUCAGCUUUCCUGUAGCUGUCCUUAAACUUUUAAGGAAAAUUAAAUCUGCCUCCACUAUUGAACAUUUUAAAUCUGCUUUUAAAGACCCACCUCUUCUCCUUGGCCUUCACUUCAGGAUAAAAAUAGUCCACCGGGACACUUCUAUGUAGUUUUUACCACUUAACUAUUCUUUUAUGUCACUAUUUUACUGUUUUACUUCCAUCUUUUAUUGAUGUUAUGUAUGAUUUUUCAUAAAUGUUCUCUAGGGACUAGAGGACUUUAGUACCUGGUGCUUUUUUUAGUUCCUGCUCCGAUGAGGUUCAGCUGAGCCGAUACUAAAAUGUGACGUCAUCAGACUGCCGGUCACUGAUUGGUCGCAGCAUGUCGUCACUGAAGAGUCACAAGCGCAAAGUCCAACCUUCCUGCUGUAUUCAAGCCAUGGCAAGGUCUGGAAGAAACAGUUUCUGCUGCGACUCAGCACAUCCUCUAAACGCUGCCAAUCUGACUGUGAACGGAGAGGAGGUGCAGCUUUUUAAUGGGAAACAAAAUGGAGAGGAAGAAGUCCUAAAGGUCAAAUCAGGCAAAGGAGGAAGAAUGUUGUCAUCAGAGGAGAAAUGCUGAGCGAUUCCUCCAGGCCGUGUUCUCCAGUUCUGCUCGGUGACAUUUUCAGCACCGAGAGGCAGUGGACAGCUCCGCAUUUACAUGAGCCUCCCCUGUGUGUGUGUGUGUGUGUGUAUGUCAAUGUAAUGUCCUCUGAAGUCAUGGAGACCAUACUCUGUGUGUGUGUGUGUGUGUGUGUGUGUGUGUGUGUGUGUGU